AGCAGCCGCGGUAAUUCCAGCUCCAAUAGCGUAUAUUAAAGUUGUUGCAGUUAAAAAGCUCGUAGUUGAAUUUCGAGACCGGUUUAUUGGUCGUGCUUUUGUACGUACUGGUAUUAUUGGUUUCUCCUUUCUGACGAAUCUUAAUGCCAUUAAUUUGGUGUUUUGGGGAAUCAGGACUGUUACUUUGAAAAAUUAGAGUGUUUAAAGCAGGCUCACGCUUGAAUACAUUAGCACGGAAUAACGGAAUAGGACGUUUGAUUCUAUUUUGUUGGUUUCUAGGAUCGACGUAAUGAUUAAUAGGGAUAGUUGGGGGCAUUAGUAUUCAAUUGUCAGAGGUGAAAUUCUUGGAUUUAUUGAAGACUAACUACUGCGAGAGCAUUUGCCAAGGAUGUUUUCAUUAAUCAAGAACGAAAGUUAGGGGAUCGAAGACGAUCAGAUACCGUCGUAGUCUUAACCAUAAACUAUGCCGACUAG
rnacentral:rRNA from 1 species